AUUUCGUUAAGUAUCCUCAACACUUACUUUGACACAAUGUCAUAAUUUAUCUAUGGGUGUCAUGCCUAUAAUUUGGUUUUGAAACGUAUUAUUUACAUGCCAUAAUGGUAGAAAAAAAUAUUUUUAGUGGCUGGCAACUCUAACUUUGACAUUAGUGAGCCAAAAUGGCGACUAGAAGAUUUGCUCUGCGGACUGCUCAGCAACGACUAAUUCGGAAAUAAACACUACAGAAUUCAAGAUCAAGACGAAUUUUAGCGCUGAUUCCCGAAGAAAACGCUCCUUCUGAUGUUAGUGGGGAAUCAAACUCCGAGAAUGAAGACGAAUUGGCUAAUGUUCAAUUUGGGGACCCAGAGUCUUCCGAACCACCUUCACUUGACUCUUCCUUGGAACGGCUUAAUAUUCUGAAUUCUGAUUCUGAUGCUGAUCAACACCGAAGCUGUACCCCGUCUCCUUCAAUUCUGGCUAAUAAUGGUAAUGUAGACGACAUCAAUACUGAACAUACCUUUGAUUUCACCCUACCAUCCAUAAGUUCAUGCCCUCUUUUGACACCGAUGUCAAACAUACCUUCAAUAACAACUUCAUAUAUACUCGACCAUAUGUCAGACUCCCCCCUGCAAUCUCCACUUGUCGCUUCAUUGUGGCGUGGAUUUAGCGGACAUGCUAAUUGCCCUGUACCGAACAGAAAUAAAGAGCAGGCGCUGGUACUUGUCCAUAUUUUCCCAGUUACUCGAUAUCUGUGUAAAUAAUGCCUGUAGGCCUAACAUGCGCAUCGCGAUAAGCGGUUAUCACGCCAUUUUAUCGAUUUUGCCCAUACAUUUUGACGUCGAUAAAAGUUAUCACAGCGCGCAUCUUAGGCCUACUGGUUGUGUUACCGCCGUGAUCAAAGCCG